CGACGACUUGGAAUACAAGGCAGGAGUCAUGUCGACCACAUUUAUGAUGUUUCUGUGGUGCUCCCCGUCCUUUUUGAAAUAUUAGACUGAUCCAAACAGCGUCGGGACAGAAAUGUCUGGAACAACAACGACAACAACGAAAAAUAUAGCGUGCACAAGAAGAACCGGAGCCGUGACUGCACUGUUUUCACUGAUUUACUCUGCACACUGCAACAACAACAACAUACAACACGGGAGUGCAUUCUAGAGGCCAUCAGGUAUUAUAACAUCAACUCAAAUACAUUACACAUAGCAUCUACGUUCAAUAGCAUAAAAGUUCCACUUCAGAAGGGAACGUUUAAUGCAGCGCUGAGCUGAUGUAGAGGUGCUGCCACAGAAAUUUUAAAAUCUUUUUCCAUGCAUCCUCUUGUGCGUAUGCGUGCAGUUUGGUUUGUCCACCCCAUAGCAUGACAACUGCAGGAACAACAACAACAUGCAUUAACAUGU